AACGUAGGUGGCGAGCGUUAUCCGGAUUCAUUGGGCGUAAAGAGCUUGUAGGCGGCGUCAUAAGUUGGACGUGAAAACUCCGGGCUUAACUUGGAGAGGCCGUUCAAUACUGUGAGGCUAGAGGGUGUCAGAGGGAAGUAGAAUUCCUGGUGUAGCAGUGAAAUGCGUAGAUAUCAGGAGGAAUACCCGUGGCGAAGGCGGCUUCCUGGGGCACCACUGACGCUGAGAAGCGAAAGCGUGGGGAGCAAACAGG
rnacentral:rRNA from 1 species